rnacentral:rRNA from 1 species
AGCGUGAGGGUGCUAAGGUAGCGAAAUUCCUUGCCUUUUGAUNGUGGGCCUGCAUGAAUGGUUUAACGAGGGUUUGACNGUCUCUAAAUUUUUUAUUGAAAUUGUACUGAAGGUGAAGAUACCUUCAUUUAAAAGUUAGACAAAAAGACCCCGUGCAACUUUGAAAAUUAACUUUAUUCAGGAGUAAAAGAUUUUUAGGUGGGGCGCCUAGAAAGCAAGUCUAACCUUUCUGAAUAACUAACUCUUUCCGGAUUUGACCCGAUUAUAUUCGAUCAUAGGAGAAGUUACGCCGGGGAUAACAGGCUAAUCCUUUAGUAGAGUUCGUAUUGGCUAAAGGGAUUGGCACCUCGAUGUUGAAUCAGGGAUAAUAGCUUCAAGGCGUAGAGGCUUUGAAAGUAGGUCUGUUCGACCUUUAAUACCCU